AUGGCUUUAGCGUGGAGUUCAUCCACCGUGACUCCGUCAGAUCGCCGUUCCACGACCCGACGUUCACCGCGCCCGCCCGCGCGGCGGUCCGUUGCCCGCGCCGCGGCGUUCUCGCGCUCCUACGUCCGCGCCGACGCGCCCUCAGCUGACGGCUUCGUGUCCGAGGUCACGUCCAGGACAAGCGAGUACCUGAUGGCCGUGAACAUAGGCACGCCGCCCACUCGCAUGGUCGCCAUCGCCGACACCGGCAGCGACCUCACCUGGCUCAAUUGCAGCUACGGAGGCGACGGUCCUGGUCUGGCGGCCGCCCGUGACGCGGACGCGCAGCCGCCGGGCGUCCAGUUCGACCCCUCCAAAUCGACGACGUUCGGCCUUGUGGACUGUAACUCCGGCACGUGCAGCGAGCUCCCCGAGGAUUCCCAUUCCUGCGACGUUCGGCCUUGUGGACUGUAA
rnacentral:rRNA from 1 species